rnacentral:rRNA from 1 species
AUUGAACGCUGGCGGCAGGCCUAACACAUGCAAGUCGAGCGGAUGAAGUGAGCUUGCUUCUGGAUUCAGCGGCGGACGGGUGAGUAAUUCCUAGGAAUCUGCCUGGUAGUGGGGGAUAACGUCCGGAAACGGGCGCUAAUACCGCAUACGUUCUGAGGGAGAAAGUGGGGGAUCUUCUGACCUCACGCUAUCACAUGAGCCUAGGUCGGAUUAGCUAGUUGGUGGGGUAAAGGCCUACCAAGGCGACGAUCCGUAACUGGUCUGAGAGGAUGAUCAGUCACACUGGAACUGAGACACGGUCCAGACUCCUACGGGAGGCAGCAGUGGGGAAUAUUGGACAAUGGGCGAAAGCCUGAUCCAGCCAUGCCGCGUGUGUGAAGAAGGUCUUCGGAUUGUAAAGCACUUUAAGUUGGGAGGAAGGGCAGUAAGUUAAUACCUUGAUGUUUUGACGUUACCAACAGAAUAAGCACCGGCUAACUUCGUG